rnacentral:ncRNA from 2 species
UAGUAUAUGCGAAUCAAAGAUGCCAUCAGGCUUAAUAGGGAAUCCGGAGAGAGCCGGAACUGCCCCCGCAACUGUUAGCGUUCGCGAAAUGGAUCAUCCACUGUGCCCAGGUACGGGAAGGACCAUAGUAGAAUCGAGCGUAAGUCAGGAGACCUGUCUUUAUUCGCUGAAGUUU